CUUUAGACCAAGGCUCAUAGGGUAGUGCACUAAUUUAGACCAGGGCCAUAGGGUAGUGCACUACUUUAGACCAGGGCCCAUAGGGUAGUGCACUACUUUAGACCAGGACCAUAGGGGUAGUGCACUACUUUAGACCAGGGCCUAUAGGGGUAGUGCACUACUUUAGACUAGAGCCCAUAGGGGUAGUGCACUACUUUAGACCAGGGCCUAUAGGGGUAGUGCACUACUUUAGACCAGGGCCAUAGGGGUAGUGCACUACUUUAGACCAGGGCCAUAGGG